rnacentral:rRNA from 1 species
UGAGGAAUAUUGGUCAAUGGACGCAAGUCUGAACCAGCCAAAUCGCGUGAAGGAAGACUGCCUUAUGGGUUGUAAACUUCUUUUAUAAGGGAAUAAAAAAUGUCACGAGUGACAUAUUGCAUGUACCUUAUGAAUAAGCAUCGGCUAACUCCGUGCCAGCAGCCGCGGUAAUACGGAGGAUGCGAGCGUUAUCCGGAUUUAUUGGGUUUAAAGGGUGCGCAGGCGGGCUCUUAAGUCAGCGGUGAAAUCUCGAGGCUCAACCUCGAAAUUGCCGUUGAAACUGGGAACCUUGAGUAUAGAUGAAGUAGGCGGAAUUCGUUGUGUAGCGGUGAAAUGCAUAGAUAUAACGAGGAACCCCAAUUGCGUAGGCAGCUUACUAAACUAUAACUGACGCUCAAGCACGAAAGCGUGGGUAUCAAACAGG